rnacentral:rRNA from 1 species
AAGGCUUGACAUGGACCGGACCGCCGCAGAGAUGUGGUUUCCCCUUUUGGGGCCGGUUCACAGGUGGUGCAUGGUUGUCGUCAGCUCGUGUCGUGAGAUGUUGGGUUAAGUCCCGCAACGAGCGCAACCCUCGUUCCAUGUUGCCAGCGCGUAAUGGCGGGGACUCAUGGGAGACUGCCGGGUCAACUCGGAGGAAGGUGGGGACGACGUCAAAUCAUCAUGCCCCUUAUGUCUUGGGCUUCACG